AGCAUGAUAGAGUUGUAGUUAACCCUUGUAGGCUGCAACUGACUUAAGAGCUGACCAGCUGUGUAACAGGCUGCAAUAGAUGUAUCGAUCGUGCAUGACUAAUGUCGAUCAAUCAUGCUAAGGAUGUAGGAGCAGUGAAAAUGGCCUGGGAACAGUGGUUGGACGGUAUACGAUCACUGGUAUAUGAGCUGGUCCCUUGGGAGUAGUGGAGGGAUAGACCAGAAUAAAACUGUAUAAUAUAAUGGUGGGUUGUCUGUAGGCUGUGACCAGGCAACUUUAUUUUUUGAACAACUUGCAACAUUUUGGUACGUGACAUGGUUGCACAUAAUGUAUUAUUAUUUUCCGAGCUUAAGUGGCAUAAAAAUGGGGAUG